GGCGUGUACUGCUCUGCUGGGCCUUACCUCUUGGUGAGCCGGCGUGGCCUUAACUGGUUGCGUCGGGGAACCAGGACUUUUACCUUGAGAAAAUUAUAGUGUUCAAAGCAAGCCUAUGCCUGAAUACAUUAGCAUGGAAUAAUAAAAUAUGACGUGCGGUUCUAUUUUGUUGGUUUCGAGAGUCGCCGUAAUGAUAAAAAAGGAUAGUUGGGGGCAUUGGUAUUGAGUCGAGAGAGGUGAAAUUCUUGGAUUGACUCAAGACCGACUACUGCGAAAGCAUUUGCCAAGGAUGUUUUCAUCAAUCAAGGACUAAUGUUACGGGAUCGAAAACGAUCAGAUACCGUUGUAGUCUUAACAGUAAACUAUGCCGACUAGGGAUCGGGCGACCUCAAAUUUGAUGUGUCGCUCGGCACCUUACGAGAAAUCAAAGUUUUUGGGUUCUGGGGGGAGUAUGGUCGCAAGGCUGAAACUUAAAGGAAUUGACGGAAGGGCACCACCAGGUGUGGAGCCUGCGGCUUAAUUUGACUCAACACGGGGAAACUCACCAGGUCCAGACAUAACUAGGAUUGACAGAUUGAUAGCUCUUACAUGAUUUUAUGGGUGGUGGUGCAUGGCCGUUCUUAGUUGGUGGAGUGAUUUGUCUGGUUAAUUCCGAUAACGAACGAGACCUUAACCUGCUAAAUAGCCAGGCCGGCUUGUGCUGGUCGCAGGCUUCUUAGAGGGACAGUCAG
rnacentral:rRNA from 1 species